GACGAACGCUGGCGGCGUGCUUAACACAUUCAAGUCGAACGAAGUUUCGAACGGGUGAGUAAUACGUGGCUAACCUGCCCUCCUUUUUGGGAUAAGCCUUGGCCACGGGGUCUAAUACCGACUAACGGGGGAUGGGCUCGCGGCCUGUCAGCUUGUUGUUGGGGUGAUGGCCUAACAAGGCGGUGACGGGUAGCCGGCCUGAGAGGGUGACCGGUCACAUUGGGACGGAGAGACGGCCCAGACUACUAAGGGGGGCAGAAGUGGGGGAUAUGGCACAAAGGGCGAAAGACUGAUGCAGCGACGCCGCGUGGGGGAUGAAGGCUUUCGGGUUGUAAACCUAGUUCGCUAUAGAAAGGGUAGGUGGAGAAGAAGCGCCGGCUAACUACGUGCCAGCAGCCGCGGUAAUUC
rnacentral:rRNA from 1 species